rnacentral:misc_RNA from 1 species
GAUGAAGAACGUAGCGAAAUGCGAUAAGUAAUGUGAAUUGCAGAAUUCAGUGAAUCAUCGAAUCUUUGAACGCACAUUGCGCCCCUUGGUAUUCCGAGGGGCAUGCCUGUUCGAGCGUCAUUAUAACCCCUCAAGCUCAGCUUGGUGUUGGGGCCUGCUGCACUGGCAGCCCUUAAAAUCAGUGGCGGCGCCAUCUGGCUCUAAGCGUAGUAAUUCUUCUCGCUAUGGAGUCCUGGUGGAUGCUUGCCAUCAACCCCCAAUUUUUCUAUGGCUGACCUCGGAUCAGGUAGGGAUACCCGCUGAACUUAAGCAUAUCAAUAAGCGGAGGA